UACGGGGGGGGGCAAGCGUUGUUCGGAAUUACUGGGCGUAAAGGGCUCGUAGGCGGCCAACUAAAUCAGACGUGAAAUCCCUCGGCUUAACCGGGGAACUGCAUCUGAUACUGGAUGGCUUGAGAUUGGGAGAGGGAUGCGGAAUUCCAGGUGUAGCGGUGAAAUGCGUAGAUAUCGAGAGGAACACCUGCGGCGAAGGCGGGUUGCUGGGCUGAUACUGACGCUGAGGCGCGAAAGCAUGGGGAGCGAACAGG
rnacentral:rRNA from 1 species